rnacentral:ncRNA from 1 species
CUAAAUACAAUGACGAGGAAGAGUAAAUAGUAUUCUGUUCACAGAGAGGGAAGUUCACUGGCUGAAAAACUUCCUGUUCAAGGACUAUUGAAAACCACCUCUGAGUUAAGUGUUGAAUUUUAGUAGACAUUAUUCGCUUUCUAGCGUUAAAAGUUUAAAGUGAUAGUAUAAUAACUUAAAACUUAAUUUAAUUAUUAUUAUACUAUAAUUUGGGUGGAACCGCGAUUAUAACUCGUCCCUUAU